UACGUAGGUGGCAAGCGUUGUCCGGAUUUACUGGGCGUAAAGCGCGCGCAGGCGGGCUGGUCAGUCCGGGGUGAAAUCUCACGGCUCAACCGUGAGCGGUCCCCGGAUACUGCCAGUCUUGAGGUGUCUAAAGGAGAGCGGAAUUCCCGGUGUAGUGGUGGAAUGCGUAGAUAUCGGGAAGAACACCAGUGGCGAAAGCGGCUCUCUGGGGACCACCUGACGCUGAGGCGCGAAAGCGUGGGGAGCGAACCGG
rnacentral:rRNA from 1 species